ACGCCUUAUACAUGCAAGUCGAACGAAGUAGCAAUACUUAGUGGCAGACGGGUGAGUAACAUGUGGGUAUCUUCCCUUCGGUGAGGAAUAACACGAGGAAACUUGUGCUAAUACCUCAUAAGUCUUUACGGAGAAAGCUUUAUGCGCCGAUGGAUGAGCCCGCACUUGAUUAGUUUGUUGGUGGGGUAAUGGCCUACCAAGACUUUGAUCAAUAGCUGAUUUGAGAGGAUGAUCAGCCACAUUGGGACUGAGACACGGCCCAAACUCCUACGGGAGGCAGCAGUAAGGAAUCUUGCACAAUGGAGGAAACUCUGAUGCAGCGAUGCCGCGUGAGUGAAGAAGGCCUUUGGGUUGUAAAGCUCUUUCGUCGGGGAAGAAAAUGACUGUACCCGAAUAAGAAGGUCCGGCUAACUUCGUGCCAGCAGCCGCGGUAAUACGAAGGGACCUAGCGUAGUUCGGAAUUACUGGGCUUAAAGAGUUCGUAGGUGGUUAAAAAAGUUGGUAGUGAAAUCCCAGAGCUUAACUCUGGAACUGCUAUCAAAACUUUUUAGCUAGAGUAUGAUAGAGGAAAGCAGAAUUUCUAGUGUAGAGGUGAAAUUCGUAGAUAUUAGAAAGAAUACCAAUUGCGAAGGCAGCUUUCUGGAUCAUUACUGACACUGAGGAACGAAAGCAUGGGUAGCGAAGAGGAUUAGAUACCCUCGUAGUCCAUGCUGUAAACGAUGUGUGUUAGACGUUGGAAAUUUAUUUUCAGUGUCGCAGCGAAAGCGAUAAACACACCGCCUGGGGAGUACGACC
rnacentral:rRNA from 1 species